AGAGCUCAAAUUUAAAAUCUGUCAGUCUUUGGCUGACCGAGUUGUAAAUUAGAGAAGUGCUAUCAGCGCUGGCCUGUGCAAAAGUCUCUUGGAAAAGAGCAUCAUAGAGGGUGACAAUCCCGUCUUUGGUACAGAGCUCCAGGGCUUCCAUGAUGUGCUCUCAAUGAGUCGAGUUGUUUGGGAAUGCAGCUCUAAAUGGGUGGUAAAUUCCAUCUAAAGCUAAAUAUUGGCGAGAGACCGAUAGCGAA
rnacentral:rRNA from 1 species